GUGGCUGUAGCUCAAUUGGCAGAGCGCCAGAUUGUGAUUCUGGAUGUUGCGGGUUCGAUCCCCGCCUGUCACCCCA
rnacentral:tRNA from 1 species